rnacentral:rRNA from 1 species
UAACAUCGAGUGUUAAAUAUGCUAGUCCUUUCAUGAUUAUGUGAUAGGUGGUGCAUGGCCGUUCUUAGUUCGUGGAGUGAUCUGUCUGCUUAAUUGCGUUUCACUAAGGGCCCAUAAAUUCAAGGUAUGUUAGCUCUCGUCGCUCUAUGGACCCCUUAACUCCAAUAUUCUUAUUGUGUUAAGCGCGUGUCUUUAUUUUAAGAGUUUUAAGACACUGCGCAUG